GUUGUGAAAGAUUUGAGAUGUGUUCACAGGUACGUGUCUCUGAAAGAAAAAUACCUAUAUACUUAAAUACAUAAGAGUAUAAAGUAAAAAAAAUUCAGAGACAAGUACCUGUUGUUGUUUUAAUAUAAAGAAAAUGGGGAAUGUGUCAAAGCGACAACAACCUGACCAUAGAGCAGACAACAGCCGAAGGCCACCAAUGGGUCUUCAAUGUAGUGAAAAAAACCCACACCUGUAGGCGUCCUUCAGCUGGCCCCUUAAAAAAUAUGUAUACUAGUACAGUGAUAAUGGACGUCAUACUAGAACACUUAGACUGACUCAACACCUUGAUAAGUAUUAUUUUCAUCCAAAGUCUUACGAUUUUUUUUGAGAAACUUAUUUUUCACCGGACAUAACAUAUUUAAGAGCAA
rnacentral:lncRNA from 1 species